rnacentral:snRNA from 1 species
AUCGCUUCUCGGCCUUUUGGCUAAGAUCAAGUGAAAUGCGGACCAUAUAUGUAUAAAUAUUGAUUGUGCAGUGAUACACACUAUUUUCUAACAUAUAUUUCACUUACAUAUAUAGUGGAGAUUUUUUC